UUCUCGAAUUCAGAAGAUUUAUUUAUUUUGCUGUAAUAAUCAUUAUAAAAUUGAAAUGAAAUGUUAAUAUAUCUAGUUUUCUAAGAAAUUUAAUUUUAUUUAUUUGUAUGGGGAAAAGCUUGUAUUAGGAUUAGAAGUUUUGUUAUAUUUAGGUUAUUAGAAUUAAUAAUUAAAUUAAUGUUGAAAAAAUGUUAAAAUUAGUAUAAGGUUAAUAAAAGGAAUUCGGCAAAUAUUUUCCACCUGUUUAUUAAAAACAUGGCUUUUCGAGUAUAAUUUAAAGUCUAACCUGCCCUAUGAGGCCGCGGUAUUUUGACCGUGCAAAGGUAGCAUAAUAAUUAGUUCCUUAAUUAGGAGCUGGAAUGAAUGGUUGAAUGAGAAAAUUACUGUCUUUUUUUAAUUGAAUUUUAUUUUUAAGUAAGAAAGCUUAAAUUUAAUUAAAAGACGAGAAGACCCUAUAGAGUUUUAUUUUGAUUGGGGCGAUUGAAAAAUUAAUUAAACUUUUGAUUAAAAGAAUUAAUUACCUUAGGGAUAACAGCGUAAUCUUUCUAAGAGUUCAAAUUGAAAGAAGGGGUUGCGACCUCGA
rnacentral:rRNA from 1 species